UGCCCCCUGCCCAGCCCCAUGUCCCCUCAGCCUCUUGCCCUCUUUGCCCUCCUCUCUCCUGCUUGUCCUCCUGGCCGGCAAUCGAAGCAGCAGGGAAAGCUGCAAAGAGCUCCUUUUCUCCCGGCCUCUCGGCUGAUUGGCGGGUGGGCGGGGCUUCCAGGGAGGCCUCCGUGUAGGCCUCAGUGGAGCCUGAACUGGAGUCGGCUUGCAGGGAGGCCCCAAGCAAGGAAGGCAGGCAGGAGGCAGGGAGGCAGAGUGGCCCCCACAGCUCUCUGCAGCAGACCCUCUGCCCAGCCCAGCAUCUGCCAGGAAGCUUUUAUUGUUGUGCUGUUGUGAGCCACCUCAAUAACAAGUCAAAAUUGGUUGAGGCUGCCUAACCGUAUCUUGGAAGAAAAGGCGCGCUUGUCAGUUGCUUUGAGGAAUGAACGACAGACUGAAUGAGACAUCGUCUUGUGGGGGUCUUGUGGAGAGAAAGGCUUUCAUGGCCUCCUCUCAGUCAGGCCGUGAAAUCUGCCUAUCGGGGAAAGGCUUGGCUUUCUCAAACUUCUCAGAUCUCCUUGAGAAACAAUGGGGGCGGACCAGCAGCCGACGAGCCUCCUACCAAGGAGCAGUCUACCUUGAGCCGGGAAAGAGUUCAGAGCCGGCUCCUUAGCUUCGUCAGCUGCCGCCUCAGCCCCUUGACUGUACUCUGUGCCUCCUUGAUGCUGGCAAGGUCUUUCUCGCCUGAAAGGAGAGGAAAGAGACCCUGAGAAGGGAGGGGCCUCUCUGCCCCCAGGCCAGGCCCUGCGCUGACCUCCGGGCCCCUCCCAGACUCUGCCGGGACCCUCACUUGCUGUCUCUCCUUCCAAGGUCCCUCCUAGUGGCCAGGAGGGUGGUUGGUGCAAAAGGCCGAUGCACUGGAACUCCACCUCCAACCAUCAGGAGGGCUGUUCUCAGCACAGCCGCCUGGUCUGCUUCCUGGUGAUCAGAGCCUGCUCUCCCUCCAAGGAGUUCAGCUUUUUAUCCUCCCCAGAACCCUGAGAGGCAGCUUAGGCUGUGCAAUGAAGAGCCAGCAGCCAGCAAGUUUGGUGGCUGCACGGGGAUUCGAACCCAAGUCCCUCUGGUCCUAAGGCUGGGGAACGGACCUGAUGCCUGCUCUCCCCCACUUAUCUGCUGCACACAUUUCUCCCUGCUUCCUGUCGCCAUUUUUGGACUCUAAG